rnacentral:pre_miRNA from 1 species
AUAACAUUUGGACCGUCGGUCUACUGAGCAAUAUCAUCUGCUGGGCGGAAGAUUUUUCCUAAGUCGU